UACGUAGGGUGCAAGCGUUGUCCGGAAUUAUUGGGCGUAAAGAGCUCGUAGGCGGUUUGUCGCGUCUGCUGUGAAAACCCGAGGCUCAACCUCGGGCCUGCAGUGGGUACGGGCAGACUAGAGUGCGGUAGGGGAGAUUGGAAUUCCUGGUGUAGCGGUGGAAUGCGCAGAUAUCAGGAGGAACACCGAUGGCGAAGGCAGGUCUCUGGGCCGGAACUGACGCUGAGGAGCGAAAGCGUGGGGAGCGAACAGG
rnacentral:rRNA from 1 species